rnacentral:rRNA from 1 species
AUUGAACGCUGGCGGCAUGCCUUACACAUGCAAGUCGAACGGCAGCACGGGUGCUUGCACCUGGUGGCGAGUGGCGAACGGGUGAGUAAUACAUCGGAACAUGUCCUGUAGUGGGGGAUAGCCCGGCGAAAGCCGGAUUAAUACCGCAUACGAUCCACGGAUGAAAGCGGGGGACCUUCGGGCCUCGCGCUAUAGGGUUGGCCGAUGGCUGAUUAGCUAGUUGGUGGGGUAAAGGCCUACCAAGGCGACGAUCAGUAGCUGGUCUGAGAGGACGACCAGCCACAUUGGGACUGAGACACGGCCCAGACUCCUACGGGAGGCAGCAGUGGGGAAUUUUGGACAAUGGGCGAAAGCCUGAUCCAGCAAUGCCGCGUGUGUGAAGAAGGACUUCGGGUUGUAAAGCACUUUUGUCCGGAAAGAAAUCCUUGACUCUAAUACAGUCGGGGGAUGACGGUACCGGAAGAAUAAGCACCGGCUAACUACGUG